rnacentral:rRNA from 1 species
AGAGUUUGAUCCUGGCUCAGGACGAACGCUGGCGGCGUGCCUAACACAUGCAAGUCGAGCGAUGAAGUUCCUUCGGGAACGGAUUAGCGGCGGACGGGUGAGUAACACGUGGGCAACCUGCCUUAUAGAGGGGAAUAGCCUUCCGAAAGAAAGAUUAAUACCGCAUAAGAUUGUAGCUUCGCAUGAAGCAGCAAUUAAAGGAGCAAUCCGCUAUAAGAUGGGCCCGCGGCGCAUUAGCUAGUUGGUGAGGUAACGGCUCACCAAGGCGACGAUGCGUAGCCGACCUGAGAGGGUGAUCGGCCACAUUGGGACUGAGACACGGCCCAGACUCCUACGGGAGGCAGCAGUGGGGAAUAUUGCACAAUGGGGGAAACCCUGAUGCAGCAACGCCGCGUGAGUGAUGACGGCCUUCGGGUUGUAAAGCUCUGUCUUUGGGGACGAUAAUGACGGUACCCAAGGAGGAAGCCACGGCUAACUACGU